GCUUAGAUGAUGAUGAGCUAGUUUUUCACCUACGUGAGUGUCCAGUGGAUUGAUUGGUUCUUUGUUGUAUGGGACUGACCAGCAUCGAAGAAAAUUUACCAUGGCUGGCAUCUGCCGACUAAAUGCCUGUAGCCCUAACCAAAUAUACACAGAUUCCAAAAGUGCCCUUUUGAGAACCCCGAGGCUUAAGGAAUCAUGAGGGUCCCCUUCCUGCCAUGGAUGAGGAGCGUUGAUGAAGUAUGUGCUUGGGCUUGCUUCAAUUUCCCUUUCCUAGAAACCAGGGUAAAUAUUAGUCUGCCCUGGUUCUGAGCUUUGUGUUACUUUUGAGUAAAGCCAGUAUCCAGAGUACUGACUGCCAUGAGAAUAUCUUUAAACAUUAAAAUGUGCAGCAGUCUCCUAUUUUCAAUUAACCCUUGUUCAUAGGCAUACUCAGUUCAGACCACCAGGGUGUUUGGUUAAUCAACAUGUUAUAAUUGGACUAUCAAGCGGUGAGGAGGCAGGGAAACAUACAAAACUUUGUCUUCAAACACGUUCAUUCUGAGAAAGAAUGAAGUGCACAUUUGAGGCCUAAAAUUGUGCCAAUUUUCACCGUGUUCCAAAUGACUUUUCCAUUAAGCAAUCACUUACAUAUCUUCUCCACAUGGCAAUCAUUUGCAGACUUUAUUGGAAGUGAUGUAAAAAGGGUUAGAAAUUACUGAAACCAGGGAGUUUUUAAUACUCCUUUUCCUGCUUUCUUCAGCAUUUUAAGUGCCUGUGUUGAAGCAAAUACACCAUCUGCAGUACAUCCCCACUCCCCACCCUGGAGGCUGCCCAGGGGAUGUGCAGGGGAGCUGCUGUUCCAGGACUGUGCGCUCCUGUUCUACUUCUUGCCAGCAGCUAACUGGGGGCCACUCACUUGACAUCUCAGCACCUCAGUCCUCAUCUAUAGAGUUGUGAUAAAAGUAUCUGCCCCCAUGGUGGUUGGGAUUGAAGGGCUCGUGCAUGAAACCAUUUUGCAAAGAGUCAGUCCGAAAAUGAGGCAGCCAGCCUGUGAGGCAAGGCCUCUGAGCUUCUCAGAUGAACACUGCUAUAUUAGGACCGCGGAUGGUUGUGCAACAAGACCUCUCUACACCUUUCCUCGAUGCCAGCCCUUCACCACGAAGACCACCUGUUGGACUAACAGGUGUCACUGUAGUUUUGAAGAACCACCAUUUCUGGGAAUGAAUCUCACAGGAUUUCAGUUUUGGUAUUAGCUAUUUUAGGAUAUGGAGAAAGAACCUUUUAGAACAUUAACCAGUGGAUAUUAUGAUUAAAAGAACAGAUGGAAAUUUCUUUCUAGAAUACACACUUAUAUACCCCAAAACCAAACCAAAAAAAAAAAAAACUCUUAGAAUGCACUAUGACCUGUGUCUAACUGAAAUAAUAAUAGGAUUGUGACUGGCUCACGACUGAUAAGCCAGGGGCAGCCUCCUUACCUCUGUGGGUUGGGCCAGGGGGCUCCAUGCUGGGCUCCCAUAACGGCCUUACCUCCCUUACCGUGCUCCAGUGGAAGGCACGUGUGUCCCUGUCCCCAAUUGAGUGUUUUACUCAUUUCAGAUCUCCAACACCUGAUACGGAACCUGGAACAGAACAGGUGUCCCUAAACAUUGACUGAGUAAAUGAAUAAAUGGGGGCGUGGUGGAGAGGUGAAUGGAAUAUGGCCAUGCCCUUCCUCUGCAUGGAUGACAGGCCAGGCCAGGAGGUCACUAUUUGUUUGUUUUGUUUUCUUUAUGCCUGGUACUGGGGAUUGAACUCAGGACCUUGUACGUGUGAGGGAGGCGCGGUGCCACUAAGCUAAAUUCCCGGCCCUAUUUUUAACUUUACAAUGAAACCACAUCAAAAUUUAAAGCUUUGCUCUGCCGAAGACCCUAUUAGAAGAGUGAAAAGAC
rnacentral:lncRNA from 1 species